rnacentral:rRNA from 1 species
CUACGGAGGGUCCAAGCGUUAUCCGGAAUUAUUGGGUUUAAAGGGUCCGUAGGCGGGCCAUUAAGUCAGGGGUGAAAGUCUGCGGCUCAACCGUAGAAUUGCGUUUGAUACUGAUGGUCUUGAGUUAUAGUGAAGUUGGCGGAAUAUGUAGUGUAGCGGUGAAAUGCAUAGAUAUUACAUAGAACACCGAUUGCGAAGGCAGCUGACUAACUAUAUACUGACGCUGAGGGACGAAAGCGUGGGGAGCGAACAGGAUUAGAAACCCUAGUAGUCC